CUCCGAGAGUUAACGCACCUGCCAUUCCUGUGCUGACACACAGCUUUUCAGAGAAACGAGAGAAAGGGAGGAAAAAAAAUCUCCAAAGAUUGUGCUCUGGAGACUUCUUGAUUUCUGCCAAUAACGAGCCAAGACUGGGGUUCCAUGGCUUUGGUUUCUGGGUCCCUGAGAAUACCAGAAAAGAGACAGUGUGAUGUCAUGAAGAGAACACACACCAUCAGUCUUGAAAUUGGGAGUUCACAUUCAACUCUUAGCACUCGCUAUCUGUGUGCCCUGGUCAGAUCACAUACCCUCUCUGUGCCUCGGCUUCCUCCAUUAUAAAAUGGACACUCUACCAAGACUGACUUUUUUCACAGAGCUACAGUGAAGAGAGGACCGUAUUUUGUAACCCUUGAAGGAUUCUAACAAGGGCUCUUCACCUGAGUCUAGGAAUCUCUGCUCUUCCUGAGAGAAUACAGCAUCACUUCCCAGGAGAAGAACAUUAUAACAGCUCAGCUGGAAAAGUACAAUUGCACCCAGCCAAGCCAGGGGCUAAAGGUAAUGGAGACUAUGGCUGCACACUGAAAAGUGAGAUAAGGAAAUCCAGAAGAGUGACUC